AACCCAAAAAAGUCUAUAGAAGACACGACACAGCUCUCUCGGCCCAUCUCCUUCCACACCGGGACGCCGGCCGCCGCCGCUGCCGCCGCCCCGCGCGCCAUGGAGCCGGACGCCGCCGACGACGACUACAUGGGGGACCUGUCCCACUUCCUCCCGCCGCCGACCCCUUCCUCCCCGUCGAGGAGCCUCGGGCGGAGGAGGCAACCGCCGGCGCAGCAGGCGCAGGGGCAAGGGAAGCGCGCGAAGGGGGUGGUGCCAUGGCAGGAGCGGCGGCGGCGGGAUCGGGAGCGGAAGCAGCGGGAGGAGGACGAGCGGACGAUGGCCGGGCUCGCGGAGGCCAUACCGGAGACCAACGUGGGUUUCAGGCUGCUGAAGCGGAUGGGGUACGACCCCGCGGCCGGUGGCGGCGCGGGCGCCGAGCCGGUGGGAAUCGAGAUCCGCCGCUCCCGUGCGGGGCUUGGGGCGGAGCCUGCUGUAUCGGUGGCGCCGCCGCAGCCGUCGGCGGAGGUGGCGGAGGGGGAGAGGAGGCGGGUGGAGGAGAUGGCGGUGGAGUUGAGGGCGAGGCAAAGCACGCAGUGGAGGAACCGGAGGGUGGUGUGGGAUUACCGGAAGGCUGAAGCCGCGCUCGCGCAGCUGGAGAAUCGGGAGGCUGCGCCGCCACCGCCGGAGGGGGAGGAGAAGGCUGAAGAGGAGGAAGAGGAGGUGAUCACUGAAGAGGAUUUGCAAAAUAUAUUGGCUAAGCUGCGCGAUGAACACUACUAUUGCCUUUAUUGCGGUUGCAAGUAUGAAUCAGCAGAAGCAUUGGCAAAUGAAUGUCCUGGGCCAAAUGAAGAUGACCAUUAAUUCGCUGUGUCUGGGGCAACAAAGAAUGGUCCUUGUUACAACAGGUGAUGAUUCUGAUUUGCAAGUUGCUGUAAACGAUAUUUUGGGACCUAUACUGCGAAUCACCUUUCACAUUUCAGUAUCACAUCUCAAUGUUAGAAAUGAUAAUUCUCUUGCGGCAGCUUAAAGCUACAAGGGUGGAACUGGAAAGCUUCAGGAAGAGUUUACAGUUCUGCAUAUGGUAUGCUCUGCUCCUCCAUGUAGAAGGCUUCAAAGGAGCCCUUGCUACAGCUCUUGAAAAGUCCAAAUCAAGGUGCCUCUCCUCACAGUGAAAAAGAGUCGUGUCAAUGGAACAAGUGAUCUGCGACAUAUGAUAAUGAUAAGCAGAUGGCGCCAAAGCAAUUAUACAUUUCUGUUUUCCAAUCACGGUGAUAACUGUUCAAGUUGGUAGUACUGUGUUUAGGAUGGCACUGAUAUUUUUGAUUCAUUCUAGCAAUACAUCAUACACCUGUUGCUGGGAUCUAUCUUCAAUGCAAUGAUGGUUUUACAACUGUGUCAAAUCUUGCAUGUGA